GGAAUCUUCGGCAAUGGGGGGCAACCCUGACCGAGCAACGCCGCGUGAGUGAAGAAGAUUUUCGGAUCGUAAAGCUCUGUUGUAAGAGAAGAACGUGUGUGAGAGUGGAAAGUUCACACAGUGACGGUAACUUACCAGAAAGGGACGGCUAACUACGCGCCAG
rnacentral:rRNA from 1 species